rnacentral:rRNA from 1 species
UACGAAGGGGGGCUAGCGUUGUUCGGAAUUACUGGGCGUAAAGGGCGCGUAGGUGGCCUGUUAAGUCGAACGUGAAAUCCCCGGGCUCAACCCGGGAACUGCGUCCGAGACUGGCAGGCUCGAAUCCGGGAGAGGGAUGUGGAAUUCCAGGUGUAGCGGUGAAAUGCGUAGAUAUCUGGAGGAACACCGGUGGCGAAGGCGGCAUCCUGGACCGGUAUUGACGCUGAGGCGCGAAAGCCAGGGGAGCAAACGGG